GAUGAACGCUAGCGGCAGGCUUAACACAUGCAAGUCGAGGGGCAGCAUGAAGGUUAGCAAUAACCUUUGAUGGCGACCGGCGCAAGGGUGCGUAACGCGUGAGCAACUUGCCCGUUUCUGGGGAAUAACCGGUGGAAACGCCGACUAAUACCCCAUAGCAUCAGAUUGAGGCAUCUCAGUCUGAUUAAAGAAUUUCGGAAACGGAUAGGCUCGCGUGACAUUAGCUAGAUGGCGGGGUAACGGCCCACCAUGGCAACGAUGUCUAGGGGUUCUGAGAGGAAGGUCCCCCACACUGGAACUGAGACACGGUCCAG
rnacentral:rRNA from 1 species